GCCCUCCUGUUCCCUUUCCCAUCGGAUCCUUGACACUGGUCUUGGUGGUCGUAAAGGAGGAAGAGUGACACUGAAGCUGACCUCACAGCCAUGUAGUCUGGCAGAUAGCAUGUGGGCUAGGUUCAAACAGGG
ensembl:snoRNA